ACGCUCGACACCUACGGAGGCAGCAGUGGGGAAUAUUGCACAAUGGGGGAAACCCUGAUGCAGCGACGCCGCGUGAGCGAAGAAGUAUCUCGGUAUGUAAAGCUCUAUCAGCAGGGAAGAAAAUGACGGUACCUGACUAAGAAGCCCCGGCUAACUACGUGCCAGCAGCCGUGGUAAUCUGAGCGGGCUGGCAAGGC
rnacentral:rRNA from 1 species